GAUGAACGCUGGCGGCGUGCCUAAUACAUGCAAGUCGAGCGAAUAGAUGAGGAGCUUGCUCCUCUGACGUUAGCGGCGGACGGGUGAGUAACACGUGGAUAACCUACCUAUAAGACUGGGAUAACUUCGGGAAACCGGAGCUAAUACCGGAUAAUAUAUUGAACCGCAUGGUUCAAUAGUGAAAGACGGUUUUGCUGACACUUAUAGAUGGAUCCGCGCCGCAUUAGCUAGUUGGUAAGGUAACGGCUUACCAAGGCAACGAUGCGUAGCCGACCUGAGAGGGUGAUCGGCCACACUGGAACUGAGACACGGUCCAGACUCCUACGGGAGGCAGCAGUAGGGAAUCUUCCGCAAUGGGCGAAAGCCUGACGGAGCAACGCCGCGUGAGUGAUGAAGGUCUUCGGAUCGUAAAACUCUGUUAUUAGGGAAGAACAAAUGUGUAAGUAACUAUGCACGUCUUGACGGUACCUAAUCAGAAAGCCACGGCUAACUACGUG
rnacentral:rRNA from 1 species